rnacentral:rRNA from 1 species
GGUCAAGUGAAGAAGCGCAUACGGUGGAUGCCUUGGCAGUCAGAGGCGAUGAAAGACGUGAUAGCCUGCGAUAAGCUUCGGUGAGGUGGCAAAUGACCUGUGACCCGGAGAUCUCUGAAUGGGGGAACCCACCUAGAAUAAUCUAGGUAUCUUAACCUGAAUCCAUAGGGUUAAGAGGCGAACCAGGGGAACUGAAACAUCUAAGUACCCUGAGGAAAAGAAAUCAACCGAGAUUCCCUUAGUAGUGGCGAGCGAACGGGGACCAGCCCUUAAGUUGAUUUGAGAGUAGCGGAACGCUUUGGAAAAGGCGGCCAUAGUGGGUGAUAGCCCUGUACGCGAAACGCUCUUAUCAAUGAAAUCGAGUAGGACGGGGCACGAGAAACCCUGUCUGAAUAUGGGGGGACCAUCCUCCAAGGCUAAAUACUCCUGACUGACCGAUAGUGAACCAGUACCGUGAGGGAAAGGCGAAAAGAACCCCGGAGAGGGGAGUGAAAUAGAACCUGAAACCGUAUGCGUACAAGCAGUGGGAGCC